GGAAGAGCACUGCAGUUGUCUUGCAGUUAUGCAACUUAUCAACCCAUAACUGCGAUAACUACAAGAUUUUUUAAUAAGAAAAGAGAUUGUAUGACUUCGGUAUCCGCAAUACGGUAUCGUGCAUUGAUUCCCAUCUUAGAAUGGCUCUCUUCCGUAUAGGUGGAAAUAGGAAAGGUUAUGUCUUUUUUUCCAAUUCUUAAAACGAAGAGGCUUAAUCGGUUCAAACAAAGAUGACGAUGAUCAUUAUGGAGCCGAUCAUAAUGAGGAAUACGAUAAUGCAUAUAAUAAUAAAUAAAAUGAUUUUACUUGUAUCUUAAACUUAUUUAAAUAAAAAAUUAUUUGUUUAA